rnacentral:lncRNA from 1 species
UUUUGUUUCAGGAAUGUGUGCACCCAGCUUGCUGAUCCAACAAAGUCUAUUGCUUACCAGUCUAGCUUGAUGAAGCCUUUUGGCCAGAAGUCAAUUUGUUUUGGAUCAGAGAAAUUUCCUGACAAGGUAUAUUUGUUUUCUAGUGACAGAAAGGCAAAGGAACAAGUCCUAGUUGUUGUUGUUGUUGUUGAAUACUAAAUUUAAGAUAUGUCAGCUUGCUUUCAAUGAGCCUUGGGCUUCUGUUAUUGCUUGAGCAUUUGGAACUCGAGCUUCCAGAGAAAUUUGAGGUCCUCGCUUGUUCUCUGCCUUCAAGAAACAAUGACCUGAUUCUGUCUUUAAAAAAAAAAAUCUCAGAAUUCUUUUUUUGUUUGUGUUUUUUUUUUUUUUUGAGACAGAGUCUCACUCUGUUGCCCAGGCUGGAGUGCAGUGGCGCCAUCUCGGCUCACUGCAACCUCCGCCUCCCAGGUUCAAGCAAUUCUCCUGCCUCAGCCUCCCAGGUAGCUGCCACUACAGGUGCUGCACCACCACGCCCGGCUAAUUUUUGUAUUUUUAGUAGAGACAGGGUUUCACCAUAUUAGCCAGGUGGGUCUUGAACUCCUGACCUUGUGAUCCACCCGCCUCGGCCUCCCAAACUUGUCAGGAGGCUGAAGUGGGAGGAUCACCUGAGCCCAGGGAGGUCAAGGAUGCAGUGAGCCAUGGUCUCACCACUGCACUCUAGCCUGGGUGACAGAAUGAGACCCCGUCUCAAAAAAAAAGAAGAAGUAGAUAAUCUGAAUAGCCCUAUAUCUAUAGAAACUUAAUAGUGCUGGGAGAUAUAGGUAUUAUUAUCCUCAUUUUACAGAUGUGAAAAUUGAGGCUCAGAGAAGUAAAGUCUAUUGCUCAAGGUCAUGUGGCUAGAAUAUGGCAGAGCCAUGAUUCAGAUCCAGGUCUUCUGAUUCUUAUUCCAGUGUCCUUUCUAGCAUACCAUGUUGCCUCUAAAGAUUGCAGCUCCUUAUUUACUAGAAAAUUGUUCCUGCCCAAUCUACAUCUCCACCUCACCCCAUCUUUUCUUAAGCACUAUGUUUGUGUUUUUAUCAGUAUUAUAUUCAUUGUCUUUGGAAUACAUGUUCUUGUUUGUGUUUGGAAAAAAAAUCUCUUUUACCAGCUUGCACUCGGACCAACUUGGAAAAAAAAAAGCUUAAAUGUUUUUGCUAUGUACAGUUUAAAAAUGUGAAGUUUGUAGCUUUAACUUUUUGUAAGAAAAUCUAAUAACACUGGCUUAAGUGCUGACUUGAAAUGCUAUUUUGUAAGGUUUGGAUGUAAGUAAUCAAUUGAGGUCAGCAGUUUGUAUGAGACAUAGCUUCCUCCAUUGCCCCCACUCCUUUUUUCUUUUUUAAGUUUGAGAUGCUUCCUGUGUUUUUAUGUUAGAAUUGUUGUUCUCCUUCUUUUCUUCUUCCUAUACCUCAUCACGUUUGUUUUAAAUAAACUGUCCUUUGGACCACAAACCCUUAUUAACGAGAACCUCAAUA